AACAAACAAGCUGCACUAACAGGCAGAGGUAGCCAGUGACUUGAAAGUUUUACAGUACGAAUUUUAAUACAUGUAUAUGGAUCAACUGGACAUUCAGCUGAUCAACAUUUAAAAUCCAAAACAAAUUGAAAACUCUCGAAUAUCCAAGAAAGUCUCUUUAGAAUUGCUGUUUCUGUUUCAAAUGGAUGUUAAAUAUCUAGGCUUCUUCUAUACAACCCAGCCUAAAAUCCAAAAAGAUUUUCAAAACCAUAACUGAGAGGCUAAAUUCCAAACAUGUCUCGAAAAAAUCGUCACCAACCCAAAGAUACUAACAAUAAACAACCAUUUAACAGGG
rnacentral:misc_RNA from 1 species